UACGUAGGCAGCGAGCGUUGUUCGGAGUUACUGGGCGUAAAGAGUGCGUAGGCGGUUUUCUAAGUUUGGUGUGAAAUCUCCCGCUUAACUGGGAGGGUGCGCCGAAGACUGGAAGGCUUGAGUAUGGGAGAGGUAAGCGGAAUUCCUGGUGUAGCGGUGAAAUGCGCAGAUAUCAGGAGGAACACCAAUUGCGAAGGCAGCUCGCUGGGACGUUACUGACGCUGAGACGCGAAAGCGUGGGGAGCAAACAGG
rnacentral:rRNA from 1 species